rnacentral:rRNA from 1 species
GAUGAACGCUGGCGGCGUGCCUAAUACAUGCAAGUCGAGCGAACAGACGAGGAGCUUGCUCCUCUGACGUUAGCGGCGGACGGGUGAGUAACACGUGGAUAACCUACCUAUAAGACUGGGAUAACUUCGGGAAACCGGAGCUAAUACCGGAUAAUAUAUUGAACCGCAUGGUUCAAUAGUGAAAGACGGUUUUGCUGUCACUUAUAGAUGGAUCCGCGCCGCAUUAGCUAGUUGGUAAGGUAACGGCUUACCAAGGCGACGAUGCGUAGCCGACCGGAGAGGGUGAUCGGCCACACGGGAACUGAGACACGGUCCAGACUCCUACGGGAGGCAGCAGUAGGGAAUCUUCCGCAAUGGGGGAAAGCCUGACGGAGCAACGCCGCGUGAGUGAUGAAGGUCUUCGGAUCGUAAAACUCUGUUAUUAGGGAAGAACAAAUGUGUAAGUAACUAUGCACGUCUUGACGGUACCUAAUCAGAAAGCCACGGCUAACUACGUG